rfam:Schistosoma mansoni, Puerto Rico, WGS project CABG01000000 data, contig: 0198
AUCCAGUUGACGAGUCCCAUGUAGGACGAAAUGGCGCGCGUCAAACUGGAU